AGCAUAAUUAUUAUUUUAUUAUUAAAUGUAAAGUGAUAUAAAUGAGAAUUUUUAUACGGUAUUUUUAUAUAAAUUUUAAUUUAAUUGAUAAAAUUAUGGAAAAUGUAUUUUAACUCUUUAGGGUUCAUGGGACACAAAAAUAACGCAAAACAAAAAGUCCACCAUUCUCCAUUGACUUGUGUCACCUCCUCUUGGUUCAAAGAAAUAUAAGAAAGUUGCUAGCUUGAGCCUUUUUAACUCAAAAAUCUCCAAACGCCACAUCGAGUCUAUCAUUAUAGACCAAGCAUCAAGAUUUGAAGCAAAAACAAGGAGGGGAAAUAAAGAAACAUCACACAAACAAGUAGGAGAAGGAAAAAGAAAAAGAAAUAUAUGCUUACCCCUUGAUGAGAACUUAAAAAUAAUGAAGAAACUUGCACACUAAAAACUUAGGAUUUCCACGGGCUAUAGAGGUUUUGAACUAAAAAAAUGGAACAAUACAAUUUUAGUUAUGAUCGUCUUAAAAAUAAAUAAGAGAAGCUAAGCUAAACUUAAUCCUAAAAGCAACCUAUCAAUAUAACCAACGCCAUAAAGUUCUUAAUUAACUUAAGAACAAAUGGGAAGCUCCACAAUAGAAACAUCUCGAAUUUCACUAAUCUUUUAA
rnacentral:lncRNA from 1 species